UUUGUUUUUUAAAUCAAGAUUAUAGAUUUUGGGGAGGUGACUCAGGAGUUAAGAGCAUUUGCAACUCUCCAAGGAGGCUUGGAUUCAGUUCCUAGUACCCACAUGGUGGCUCACAAUCAUCUAUAACUUGAGUUUCAGGAAAUCCAAUACUCUCUUCUGACCUCUACAUAAACCAGGCAUGCACAUGAUGCACAUAAAUAUUGUGCAGGCAAACACCGUCCCCCAGACACUCAAAAUACAUAAAAUAAAAAUAAGUAUUUUUUAAAAGUUGGAAUUUGGUAUGAUUAGCUUUAUAGCUUUAGCUAUUUAUAUUAGUUUUAUGGCAACUUGACACUACCCAGAGUCAUUUUGGAAGAGGGAACCUCAGUUGAGAAAAAUCCUCCACCAUAUUGAUCUAUGAGCAAGCCAGUAAGCAGCACUCCUUCAUGGCCUCUGCAUCAGCUCCUGCUUCCAGGUUCCUGCCCUGGUUGAGUUCCUGCCUUGACUUUCCCUCAGUGAUAGAGUGUUCUUGGGAGUGUAGAUGAAGUAAACCCUCGCCUCCUAAACUGCCCUUGGUCAUGAUCUUUUAUCAUAGCAAUGGAACCCCUACUUAAGACAAUUAUCUUUGAAGCACAUAUUUUGACAUUUAGGCAUAUCAAUAAAUGAUUGAUGGUUAGUUUCUUAAAAUGCCCCUUGACCACAAAGACAGUGAAUUUUCUCCCUUGCUCCCUAGCAUAGAUUAUAGGUCUGAGCCAUCAGAUCUGGCUUGAGGUUCAAAGCUUGUGACCACCUGUUCCAAGGACAAAUGAGCUGCCUAGAACUCUUCCACUGGCCUGCCUGUAGCCGGGAAUGGUGGAGUUCCCUGUGACUGUGGGAUUCUAUAUGAGCUACUGAUGAGACAUAAGCAAGUAAGGAAAGUUGAUCUUGGGAUCAACACUCAUCAAGAAUAAGAUGGGUCCCCCACUCUCUAGCUGUGCUUCCAGACAGGUUUGCUUCAGUGUGGCUUCAGCAAAGCCUUCCUAGUGGUCUACAGUAGAGAAUGCAAGAGUCCAUCCCUAGCCUGAACACUGCACACAGACACCAAUUAUGCUAAAAUAUUUAAUUUCAUUCCAUAAAUAAUUAAGCCUAAAUAAUAAUACCUAGAUAUAACUUGGAACUUGUGACAAUCUACCUGCCUCUGUCUCUGUGUACCAGGAUUAUAGGCCUGGGCACACAUUCUUCUUCAGGACUGAUUAUAAUACAUUUUGUAUAUUGAUUUAAAAAAAUGAUGCUUAGGUAGUUAUGGCCUGUGAGUAAUUCUAUAAAGUAGACUAAGUGGAUAUCAUCAGUCUAUACUCUAAGACAUUCCUUUAAUUUUUUUAAAUUUUUUUUUAAAGUUCUACUUUUUAAAGAUUCCUAGAGAGCCAGAUGGGUGAUGAAAAGCCAGGUUUCACAUGUAACACUAAUAUUGGGGGAAAAAAAACCUGACGCUAGAAAUUAUUUAGUUAUUCUGAAAGCUGUCACUUCUUGAAAGCAGAGUCAGAAUUAGAAAAGAAUUAACAGUGUAUCGUUGUGUUCUCACAUUUCCAAUGUGGCUGGUGAAUCAUGAAGCAAAAAUUUCCUCAAAACUGGAGCCCCAGAGUCUUAGUCUGAGCCCAUCCUCCUGCCUGAGAAUCUCCAAAUUGCCUAGUGAAGGAAAAGCUAUGUCCAUGGUCCCACCUGUUCCAAAGUCCCUUUGGAAAUCUAGGCAGAAGUAGGUUUGCUAGAGUCUUACUUAUGACAACCUGGGAAACAAAGAAGGCUCUUCAUACAAGGGUGUGUAUCCACACAAGAGGCAGCAUCCUGAAGGAAACCUUCAGGAGCCUCCGAUCCUGCAGUUAGCUGACUGUUUCCUGCCCUCCUUGGUCCAACUCGUUAUGGCCCCAGGUGUUCCUUCUUGCUGCUGAACUGCUGUCUCUACCAGCUGAGCCCACUCCUGUGGUCUGCACUCACUGCCCUGGCUGCAGGUUGAACAGGGUCAGGCUACUUCUCAGAUGCUUCCCACCAGCCGCAGUGAACUCCAUUUUGACAUGAAGCCAUUUAAAUGGAAAUCCAGUUUUACAAAGCUCAAGUGACUGGUAAUGAAGAUGUGAAUGAUGCUUAUGAGGUUUUUAUUUAAUUUUAAAUCAAUUGUGUAUUCUAAUUCAUUAAUAAAGGGGAAAGGAAAGAAUAC
ensembl:lincRNA Dalir DNMT1 associated long intergenic non-coding RNA